rnacentral:lncRNA from 1 species
UUCAAUCACAGUAGCAUUAGACUUCUUGUAUUCUACUUGUGGUUAAAUGAAUGAGUCGGCAGCUAAUUCAACCCCCAAUAUCGUCCAUGAAUGGGCUAAAGGAAGCUCUUUUAGACCAUUUCUCAUUGUGGCCAGAAAGAUAUGUUGCCAUGAAAGAGAAAGAGAGAUUAAGUAGAACGGAUUGACUGGGGUGGUAGAGUCGUGAAAACGCUUCUUUCUUCCAUAUUUUGGACCUUAGCUCCACUUAAAAAGCCACUUAUAGGCGCUUUAUGCCCAAUCAUUCUAGAUAAUGCUUGCAUCCUCUAUCUUACCAUGACUGUUGGCACGGAGUUUCAAGUUCUCUUCAAGGUAUAAUAUUGAGAAUGCUCAUUGAAUGAGCAAUUCAAUAAGAGAGCUCGGAUCGAAUUGGAAUAUCAAUACAAGAAUAGCUUCAAGUACACCUGUUACAAUUUUCCCCGCCCAAUAACCAAUUUGUUCCCGAGCUAAGGAAUAACCAGUUACACCAAAUGAUGUGGUCAAUACCUCGAGAACCACCAUUUCAAAAUAAUGAUCACAUUUUCCAAAGGACCAAGAAGAUGUAAAAGAGUGUGAAGGAGAGAGAGGGAGGGGAAAAAAUGAUUAACAUGCAAGUAUUUCAGUGAAAUUUCAAGCUUCCAAUGCUUAAAAGUCUAUCAAAUGCUUCUGAACCUUAAAUCAAGGCAGAUUUUAUGCUAAUUAUGCGACAAAUCCAAAAUCCUAAUGAUAACACAUUCAAUUUAGUAGCUAAUAUUCAAUUAAGAUUUGUUUUCCUAGCUCAACACUGGAAAACAUCAAAGCAUUACCUCAUUUUUCUUUCCCAGUGAAACCUGAAAUGGAGCAACACUAUUUGCAGAUGGACACUGAAAAACUAUUCUUUUUUCUGUCCCCAUUACCAGAUAGAAAAAUAAAAUAAGAGUGAGGUAGAACAUAUUCUGUAGCACAAAAUGAAGAAAUUGAAAUCAAAUUUCUAUUCUUGAUUGAAAAAAAUGCUAUAAUAAAUCAUAAGCUUCUUAAAGUUUAAAACGAAAGAAAUAUUAAACAGAUGCAAUAAAGAUCCAUUAGCAAUUAAUAAUUCCUCUAAACCUUUUUCCAAGAGAGAUGAAAUUUAACAUGAAUUCAACUGCAAUUACUAUCAUUUUUCCACAAACCCUAAUGUUACUCGGAAAAUCAAAACCCAUAUUCCAGGUUUCACAAUCACAAUCAUCCAUGGCAAAAAUUAAACUAUCUAAUCUUUCAGAAAUUACUUAACUGCUUGCAUUUGUGAUGAAGGACCUCAGAUCAGCUGAAACCCUAGAUCACCAAUGAUGUUAAUUAAAAAUGGUUUCAUUGAAGUUCAUUGAACAGAAAAUGAUAAAGAAAACACGGAUAAGAUAGUAGGUGGCUAAAAAAAAUUAAAUUGAUUGAUUUAAUAAUAUAAUUGUAGGGUCAGGAAAACCAAGAAAUAUAAAUUACAAGGGGAAGAUGAUAAGUCGCUUUCUUCAUGAGAGUCAGAGAUGGGAAAGCGACUUCAAGAUCUCUUCAAAAAUCUUGUAUAUAAAUACACAAGAAGAGAAGAUAAAUACACAUAUACGUAUACAAGAAAGAGAGUUGUUCUGUUUACAUAUUCUGCAGCUAAAUGAUCUGAAAAUGGCAAAAACAAGAAAAUAUAAUUCUUCUGCAACUUUCUGUGAGAAAGGGAGAGUGGGAGACCGUGAACAGUAUACACCGGCAGGAGAUUACGAAAGCGUAGGGUAGAGUAGAGUAGGGUAGGGUGGGGUGGCGUUGGGGGGGUUAAACUUUGACCACCCUCGCAACUAUGUUUGUCCGGAGGGGUACCCCACUAAUGCUGCACUUUUUUGUUGGAGGAACAGUAGUGCGCUGUAGCAGUUGUCGGAAUUUCAC